UACGGAGGGUGCAAGCGUUAUCCGGAUUCACUGGGUUUAAAGGGUGCGUAGGCGGGUAUGUAAGUCAGUGGUGAAAUCCCCGAGCUUAACUUGGGAACUGCCAUUGAUACUAUAUAUCUUGAAUAUUCUGGAGGUUUGCGGAAUAUGUCAUGUAGCGGUGAAAUGCUUAGAGAUGACAUAGAACACCUAUUGCGAAGGCAGCAGGCUACGGAAUAAUUGACGCUGAGGCACGAAAGUGUGGGUAGCAAACAGG
rnacentral:rRNA from 1 species